GGUGGGGUACCGAAGCGGCCAAACGGGGCAGACUGUAAAUCUGCUGGCAGACGCCUACGUAGGUUCGAAUCCUACCCCCACCA
rnacentral:tRNA from 1 species